UAACCACUAUGCUAGUGAUACAGGAAGAGCAAGAUCAUUUCCUGAAAGAGAUCAACCUCUGAGUUCAAGGAAGACCAGAAAAUAGUCACACAGCAAUAUACACCAAUAGGACCAAGGAUUGAACUGUUUUAAUUUCUGUCUGGAAUCUUCUGGAUGUCAAUUUCUGUGACAUCCUUAGGUACAGUUAUGGUCGUUCACAGUCCACCCCUAGCAGUGCAGUGAAGAAAGGGAACUCAGAGCAAGGAGACUGUCUUUGGGAUCUUCAAGAUGCAUGAAAGCAAAAGUUACUCAAAGUAAAUCAAGAAAAAGACAAUGAUCAGAAGGAUUCAAGGAAGACUCCCAGAACUCAAUCAUGGAAACACAAUUGAGGAGUUCCUAGCUUUCCAGUUUCUCUUUUAUACGUGUCCUGCUUUGAUGCUUGUUCUCACCCCUCCCACCCCACCCCGACCUCCCAGGUUUAUGGUGGUAUAAUUGACAAAAUUAUAAUAUAUUUAAAGCAUACAUCAUUGUAAUUUGAGAUUCCUAUGCAUUGUGAAAGGAUUUCUCCAACAAGUUUCUGCACAUCAAGGUUCACAUCAAUUGAAAUAAACUUUCCAAAUACAGAUAUGUGUAUGUGCAGUAGUUUAAAUUCCAUUCUCCCAAAGUCUUUUGAUGGCAAGUGGUAGCUGUAUUAGGUAAUAUGUACCUAGUGUUUUCUGCAUGUCAGGCCCUUAUGCCAAGUGCUUUGGAAACUUCUUCAAAUCUCAUAAACCUAUGUGGAAGUUACUAUUUUCUCUAUUUUAGAAUUGAAAGGUUAUGUGACUUAUUCAAGGUCACACAGCUAGUAAUGUUAAAUAAUUGAGAUUUGAACUUAAGCAGUCUGGCUCUAGAGUCUAUAGUCUUAACCAUCAUGCUCUCAAAUGGUGCUAAUGGAAGGUUUUCUGACAUUUCCAAAUGUACUUGGUUUUAUUGUUGUACAUGGAAAUGCAGGCUAUUCAAUUGGGUGCCAGUCCUACGUGCAUCAUGAUGGAACUUCACAAAACUGACAUUUAAUGUCAAUGCAAAUCAAUCUGUCACACAAUGACAUUGUGUUUGAGGCAGAGAUAAAACGUUAUUGUGUGUGACUUUGUUGAGUAUCAUUCAUCCUUUUAUUUAUAGCAAAUUGUUGAUUUAAAAUUAUUCAACACCUAUUUAUGAGAAAUUGGUAAAGUCAAUUAAUAAUAAUAAAUUGAAACCUGGAGAUCACUUCUUUUUCAUCUAACAUGGAAGACAAGGAGUAGUUUGAAAUAAGUCCCUUAUAAUGAAUCAUUUUGCCAUUCCUAUGUAAUUUCAAUGCAAUCCAGAAUAAAUAUGACUUCAUUCUGGAACUGGGGCAAUGUCAAUGACCAAGGAGCAUCAAAACUACUGAAUAUUUUUAUUUCUGUGUACAUAUGUGUAUCCACCAACCAUACUGAAAUUCAGAAGGCAGUAUGGUAGAAUGUGAAUUAGGUAGACUUUAGAGCCAGACAGAUUUUAAUUCAAAUCUUAAUUAUAAUGAAAACUCUCAGGAAUUGAUAAUUUUGUGAUUUCACUUUCCUUUCUUCAUCUGGAAAAUGGUAAUUGUUGUGAAGAUUAAAAAAGGAAAUGAUCUUUCCAUUAGAGCAGUAACUGUUAGAAGAUUAUUUAGCCUUCCUUGACUUCCUUAUUUAUAAAAUGGAAACAUUAAUGUCUAUUUUUCUAGGUGAUUGUGAUGAUUUAAUGAGAAAUAUAGGUAAUGGGCCCAAAUUUCAUUAAUUCCAACCUAGUAGGUACUCAAAUACCUGAUUUCUUUUCUUCAUCCUCAUUUCUGAACUUCUGAACAGUCACCUGUCUUUUGAUGAAACUGUUUUCUGAAAUAUUCAGGUUACUUAUAUAUGGAACAAUAUAUUUGAACAAGUGAGUUGCUAUGAGAAUUCAGGAAGAUAAAAAAUAAGGUAUAUAGGCCAAUUAUAGAAUUAAUGCAAAAUCAUUCUAAGCAUUUCACAGCAAUUCAGAAUCUUUUUCCAACUCGUCUGUAAUCAGAUCAUCUGGUGUCCUAACUUGGAGAAGCCUAGCUUCAAAGCUUCACUCCUUGUGUACCUCAUUGCAGCCACCACUGACUUUAGUAGUUCCAUAACUGAAUUUGCUACAAGAUUGAUUUCCCAUCAUGUGCUAUUCUUAUUGCUCAUUUCCUACUUCAAGUCUUGCAUUCGAUUACAGGAAGUCUAGGGAUGUUAGUUUUCUUACUUCUACAUUAGGAGGUAAAACUUUUAAUGUAAAAAAAAUUGCCAAAAUUUUGGAAAGUGUUCAAAAUGGUGAUUAUCCACAAAUGAUGCAUGUUCAACCUUCCAUAAUUAAUGUAGGUAUUCUCCUAUGACUGGAUAUUAAAGUUGUUUCUGAAUCUUUACUUUUUAAAAUAAUGUUGUGCUGAAUAUUGGUUAUAAAUUGGCUUUAAAAAUUCUUUGAGAGUAGAGUAGUAUUGUUGAGUAAAACCUUGCUGUGAUUCUUACCAUUGGUAGAAUAGUCCCAUGAAGUUGUUAAUACUCCUGACAUUUGUGGUUUUAUGUUCGCUUCACCAUUAUCUUGAGCAUUAUCAGUUAAAAUGUUUUUUAGAGAGUGUCGAUUUUAUAGCUAAUUUGCAUUUCCACAAUGACUAGUAAUAUUAACAUAUUCUCACUUUGAUUACUGGUUUUAUUCCUUUCAGGAUUUUAUUUUGUGUGAAUUCUUUAUCUAUAUACUGUGUUUGUAAUUCUAUUGGAGUUUUAGUUUUCUUCAUAAUGAUUUGUAAGAAGUUUUACAUAGCAAGAUUAUGAAAAUUUGUCUAAUUUCAUUAGGCUUUAAGUUGGUUGUCUUGGUACUAUUUAUUGAAUUGUCUUUGAUUUAUUCAUUCAUUUAUGAUCUCUCCUCUGUAAUGUAAAUAAAAUGGGUAUUUUAGGCUAUCUUUAUUUUAAAAAUAAUCUAUACAUUGAUUAUUCAUUGCUAAUCUAUAUAAAAAAAUUUUGAAUUGUUCUCACUUUUUUUAUCCUAUCAGGUAAACUCUAGAAUCACUUUGACAUAUUAGUGAUUUUGCAUCUAAGUAGGGAAAUAUAUGUCUCUCAUUUACUUUCUUCCUGUUAUUAUGAUAACAGAUAACUUGCUUUGAGCAUCAAGGUUAAAUGCAGUCCUUUUUCUACCAUGUACUUUGAUCCAUGUGUCUAUACAUAUCUAUCAUUUUAUACUGAUUUUGUAUGAGAUGAGUCUAAGCCAAGCUGAGUCAGUAUUAUAUCAGAGCAGGAAAGCAGAAAGCCUAUCUAACAUUGGGCGUAUGCCAAUCUUCUUGAGGCAAAAUUCUUGGAAAUGGCUUGGUAGUGUGUCUGUACCAUAUACAUUUUGCCUUCCUUUCUUUAACCCAUGAAAAAGUCAUUUUACAUCUGGAGGAGCAGAUCCUACACUUGUUCACUAGAUUAUAUUUUCUUUUGCCUGUUUGAAGUGUAGAAAGUGCAAAAUAAAAA